AUAAUGAAGCAGUGUUCUAGAAAUGCUCGAACAUCAUCAGUUCUGAGUCGGCGUGUAAAGCUGUUUUUCCGUUCAUAAACAGAGGUAAAUACUGGCUAGAUUACCCAGCAUUUAGCCACACGUUAUGAGGUCGGGCUUAACACCAGACGGAUUAUAAUUAAUAUAAUCCAGUUUUGUCCAUCUAUAAAUAUAAGAUUGUUAAUGUGAUAAUACAAGUAACAGCACGCGUAUUAAUAUUUGACGCUCCGAACAUGGGAACCCGUGACCAACUAUUACAGCUCCGGGACCGGCCAUUUGCCUGGUCGGGACGGACAGUGAUGGAUAGACUCUGGAACGGGGCGGUCGUUGACUCCGUGUGACUGUUGCACACGCGGUCACUAAUAUGAGAGAGGAGACACUGCACACUGGCCCAAUCACCACCAGUACCCCCAUGUUGGGUGCUGCCAGUCCACCGUGCACACCGGCCGUCCGCACCCACGUGUCAACAACAAUAUGACACGCUCGUCUGAGACUGAAGAUUUGAGCUCACCCUGGGGCUGAUAUUAGAGCAAUGUGAAACGAGUGGCCUAGUGCAUAGUGAACAACAUGGGGUGUGAGAACCUGUCGUGGGCAACAUCACACAAGCCAAUAAGCGUGCCAGGACCAUAGCCAGCACCAGUACAGCUGUAAAAGCUGUAAUUAAUCAAUUAGCAGACUGAAGACAAGCCUCAUUUUAGAAAUUGGAGUUGGUAGUGGAAGAAGAGGCUCAUCACCUGCACUUGGCUGCUAGGCCCCACUGUAACUGAUUGUGUGGAAGUGUGCAUAUUAAUCUGUGAUGUUAUACAGCAUAAAUGGUAUAAUGAAUAGAUAGGUAAUG